UAGACUUUCAUCUCCACUUGCAUCUUGAUUU
rnacentral:piRNA from 1 species